GCGCCUUCCCCACCCCCAGGCCAGAUCCUCCUCCCAGAGGCCCCCCAUCCCCCACCGCAUGCUUCUCUCCGGAUCCCUCGGCCUCCGGCAGGGCCCGGGUGGCCAAAAGCAAAAGUUUCCAGGGGGUGGGAUGGGGGAGGGAGGCGGAGAAAAUAGGUCACCGCGGGACGUAUCCUGAAAGAACGUAACAUGAAGCGGACGUAACAUGAGUCGCCCAAGAUGGGUGCCAGUGGUUUUGCAGGCUGUGGGAUGCCGCACUAUUGUGGCAGGAGAGGAUGGCAAAUGUGGCAGGGGCAAUCAAGGAGAAGCAAAGAAGCAGUUCCAUGCAGUAUGGAGGUCCAGCCAGAAACAGGAUCCAUGUUCAUAACUACAUUUUGGGAAUGAUUUGUGUUUUUACAUAGCUGCAUUGUUUCAUACUUUCUGGGUGGCCCAUGAUCAUGUAACAAAGUAGUUACGUUCUGUGUUACCAGUCAGCCAGUGCUAGAACUUCCUUUUUUGUUUUCUGGUGCAUUUCUUAUCAAUAAAAAAUCUGGUGAAAGUUGUAGCCCAGGAAAAAACGGGUUUGAGAACCUCUGGCUCAGACAGUAUGUCGUUGGCAGGUUUUUCUUCCAUGGAGCCAGCCUUGCCUCCAUUCUUUUAAAAGGCAUCAAGGUCGCCACAACCAAUGGCGAUUUCUAGGCCAUGCAUAGGAUAGGUGGAAUAGCUCAGUGGGUAGAGUAUGAAACUCUCAAUUUUGGGGUUG